rnacentral:rRNA from 1 species
UACGUAGGGUGCGAGCGUUGUCCGGAAUUAUUGGGCGUAAAGGGCUCGUAGGCGGUUUGUCGCGUCGGGAGUGAAAACCCAGGGCUUAACUCUGGGCUUGCUUUCGAUACGGGCAGACUAGAGGUAUGCAGGGGAGAACGGAAUUCCUGGUGUAGCGGUGAAAUGCGCAGAUAUCAGGAGGAACACCGGUGGCGAAGGCGGUUCUCUGGGCAUGUCCUGACGCUGAGGAGCGGAAGUGUGGGGAGCGAACAGG